GGCGGUGGUUUAACUAACCAGAGGAAUUUGCCCUGUAAUCGAUAACCCCCGCUGUAUGUUACUUAAAUUUGUAGACAGCUUGUAUACCGCCGUCAUCNGGAAAUUUUUAGAAAGUAUUUUCAGGAUUUUAUCAAAGUAUAUGUCAGGUCAAGGUGCAGCUUAUAUUUAAGAAGAGGUGAAUUACAAUAAAAAAAUUUAAUACGAAAUAUUUAAUGAAAUUUAGAUAUGAAGGUGGAUU
rnacentral:rRNA from 1 species